UGCUGCUUCUCUUGAGCCAUUCUAGGUCUCACUCACUUGCAAGAGAGACUGGUUCAGGAAUUUAUCAGGGAUAGCC
rnacentral:pre_miRNA from 1 species